UGGCAGUCGAGCGGACAGAUGGGAGCUUGCUCCCUGAUGUUAGCGGCGGACGGGUGAGUAACACGUGGGUAACCUGCCUGUAAGACUGGGAUAACUCCGGGAAACCGGGGCUAAUACCGGAUGGUUGUUUGAACCGCAUGGUUCAAACAUAAAAGGUGGCUUCGGCUACCACUUACAGAUGGACCCGCGGCGCAUUAGCUAGUUGGUGAGGUAACGGCUCACCAAGGCAACGAUGCGUAGCCGACCUGAGAGGGUGAUCGGCCACACUGGGACUGAGACACGGCCCAGACUCCUACGGGAGGCAGCAGUAGGGAAUCUUCCGCAAUGGACGAAAGUCUGACGGAGCAACGCCGCGUGAGUGAUGAAGGUUUUCGGAUCGUAAAGCUCUGUUGUUAGGGAAGAACAAGUACCGUUCGAAUAGGGCGGUACCUUGACGGUACCUAACCAGAAAGCCACGGCUAACUACGUGCCAGCAGCCGCGGUAAUACGUAGGUGGCAAGCGUUGUCCGGAAUUAUUGGGCGUAAAGGGCUCGCAGGCGGUUUCUUAAGUCUGAUGUGAAAGCCCCCGGCUCAACCGGGGAGGGUCAUUGGAAACUGGGGAACUUGAGUGCAGAAGAGGAGAGUGGAAUUCCACGUGUAGCGGUGAAAUGCGUAGAGAUGUGGAGGAACACCAGUGGCGAAGGCGACUCUCUGGUCUGUAACUGACGCUGAGGAGCGAAAGCGUGGGGAGCGAACAGGAUUAGAUACCCUGGUAGUCCACGCCGUAAACGAUGAGUGCUAAGUGUUAGGGGGUUUCCGCCCCUUAGUGCUGCAGCUAACGCAUUAAGCACUCCGCCUGGGGAGUACGGUCGCAAGACUGAAACUCAAAGGAAUUGACGGGGGCCCGCACAAGCGGUGGAGCAUGUGGUUUAAUUCGAAGCAACGCGAAGAACCUUACCAGGUCUUGACAUCCUCUGACAAUCCUAGAGAUAGGACGUCCCCUUCGGGGGCAGAGUGACAGGUGGUGCAUGGUUGUCGUCAGCUCGUGUCGUGAGAUGUUGGGUUAAGUCCCGCAACGAGCGCAACCCUUGAUCUUAGUUGCCAGCAUUCAGUUGGGCACUCUAAGGUGACUGCCGGUGACAAACCGGAGGAAGGUGGGGAUGACGUCAAAUCAUCAUGCCCCUUAUGACCUGGGCUACACACGUGCUACAAUGGACAGAACAAAGGGCAGCGAAACCGCGAGGUUAAGCCAAUCCCACAAAUCUGUUCUCAGUUCGGAUCGCAGUCUGCAACUCGACUGCGUGAAGCUGGAAUCGCUAGUAAUCGCGGAUCAGCAUGCCGCGUAA
rnacentral:rRNA from 1 species